UACAGAGGUCUCAAGCGUUGUUCGGAUUCAUUGGGCGUAAAGGGUGCGUAGGUGGCGCUGUAAGUCGGGGUGUGAAAUUUCGGAGCUUAACUCCGAAACUGCAUUCGAUACUGCCGUGAUUGAGGACUGGAGAGGAGACUGGAAUUUACGGUGUAGCGGUGAAAUGCGUAGAUAUCGGAAGGAACACCAGUGGCGAAAGCGGCUUCCUGGUCCAGCACCGACGUCAGGCACGGAAAGCGUGGGGAGCAAACAGG
rnacentral:rRNA from 1 species